rnacentral:rRNA from 1 species
AUUGAACGCUGGCGGCAUGCCUAACACAUGCAAGUCGAACGGCAGCACAGCAGUAGCAAUACUGUGGGUGGCGAGUGGCGGACGGGUGAGGAAUACGUCGGAAUCUGCCCAGUCGUGGGGGAUAACUAGCCGAAAGGUUAGCUAAUACCGCAUACGACCGAGAGGUGAAAAGCGGGGGGACCGCAAAGGGCCUCGCGCGAUUGGAUGAGCCGACGUCGGAUUAGCUAGUUGGCGGGUAAAGGCCACCAAGGCGACGAUCCGUAGCUGGUCUGAGAGGAUGAUCAGCCACACUGGAACUGAGACACGGUCCAGACUCCUACGGGAGGCAGCAGUGGGAAUAUUGGACAAUGGGCGCAAGCCUGAUCCAGCAAUGCCGCGUGUGUGAAGAAGGCCUCGGUUGUAA